UAGGGUGCGAGCGUUCAUCGGAAUUACUGGGCGUAAAGCGUGCGCAGGCGGUUUUGUAAGCCAGAUGUGAAAUCCCCGGGCUUAACCUGGGAAUGGCAUUUGGGACUGCAAGGCUGGAGUAUGGCAGAGGAGACUGGAAUUCCUGGUGUAGCAGUGAGAUGCGUAGAUAUCAGGAGGAAUACCGAUGGCGAAGGCAGGUCUCUGGGCUGACACUGACGCUCAUGCACGAAAGCGUGGGGAGCAAACAGG
rnacentral:rRNA from 1 species